rnacentral:rRNA from 1 species
AGUAAAUUGGUUAAGUUAGAAAGGGCGCACGGUGGAUGCCUUGGCACUAGGAGCCGAAGAAGGACGGGACUA